AAAAAGGCAAACCCUGGGUUUCCGUGCCAACGUUUGACUGUCCGUCUUAUAUGAAAUUUUUUAUAAUUAGUAUUUUCAUUGUUGUUAGAUGAUAAAACAUGAUUAAUACUUUAUGCGUGACUUAUCUUUUUAAUAUUUUUUCAUAAUUUUUUUAAAUAAGACAGACGGUCAAACGUUAGACACGAAAACCAGGGUU
rfam:Oryza sativa Japonica Group DNA, chromosome 5, cultivar: Nipponbare, complete sequence.